CUUAAACUCCUGUCCUCAUGUGAUCCGCCCACCUCGGCCUCCCAAAGUGCUGGGAUUACAAACAUGAGCCAUUGCCCCUGGUCUGUAUAUUUACCUUUUUGGGAAACUGCCAAACUAUUUCUAAAGUAGUCAUAUUAAUCUGUUCGCUUUGCUUGAGGCUGGGUAAUUUAUGCAGAAGGGAGGUUUAUUUGACUCACAGUUCUGCAGGCUGUACAAGCAUGGCACUUUGCAUCUGCUCAGCUUUUGAUGAGGCCUCAGGAAGCUGUUACUCAUGAGGUGUAGGGGGAACAGGUGUGUCACAUGGUGAAAGCAGUAACAAGAGAGAUGCCAGGCUUCUUUAAACAACUAGCUCUUACACAAACUAAUAGAGAAAGAACUCACUCAUCACCAACGGGAUCGUGCUAAACCAUUCAUGAGGUAUCCGCUCCAUGAUCAAAAUACCUCCCACUAGGCCCCACCUCCAACAUUGGCGUCACAUUUCAGCAUGAGAUUUGAAACUAUAUAAGUAGUUGAGUCAUUUUACAUUCCAACUAACAGCAUGUUAGAGUUCUAGCUCCUUUAAAGCUUUGGCAACAGUUGGUAUGGUUAGUGUGUGGUGGUAUUUUAUUACGGUUUUAAUUUCCAUUUCCCUAAUGACUAUUGGUGUUGCCUGUCUUUCAUGUGCUUAUUUCCCAUCCAUCUACCUUCUUUGGUAGAGUAUCUGUUCAAGAUAAACCACAUUGUGCACCAUAAAAUGUCUCAAUAAGUUUAAAAGGGUUUAAGUCAUAUAAAGUGUGUUUUCGGACCACAAUGUUAUUACAUUAGAAAUCAGUAACAGAAUAAUAUCUGAAAAAUCCCCAAAUAUUUGGCCCCAGUGUUGCUGUUAAGAAAUCUGCUGCCAAAUCUUCUUGUAUCUUUGGAGGACAUAUGCUCUUUUUUUCCUGGAAGCUUUUAGUAUUUUCUCUUUCUCUUUGUUCUUAAAUGUGCAAUAAUCUUUCUAGGUUCUUAAUCUCUCCUAUUUGGCAUGCAACCCUUUCCAUCUGACUUCUUUUAUCUUUAAUUUAGAGAUAAUUGUUUUUGUUAUUCUCUUAAAUAUUUGUCCUCCCUUUAUGUUCUCUUCCUUUGGACUCCUGUUUUCAGGAUGUCAGCAUGUCUACUUUUAUCCUCCAUGGUAUUUAACUUUUUAUUUCUGUAUUUCUCUCUUUAUCUUUUUUUCUGCCUUCUGAAAGAUGUCCUCAGUCUGCUCUUUCAGUUUUACAAUUUUUCCUUUGGCUGCAUUCAGCUUGCUAUUUAUCCCAUCUAGGAGUCUUACUUGGAAGCAUAAUUUUUUAUACUUUAUGUAUAAUGUCUGUCUGUCUUUAUGACUUUUUUCCUGCUUCCUAUUACCAGUAGCUUUUUGACAAUAUUGAUUGUGCUUAUUUUGUUUCAGUUGUUUGAGACAGUCUCACUCUGUCACCCAGGCUAGAGUACAGUGGUGCAAUCUCAGCUCGCUGCAAACUCCACCUCCCAGGUUCAAGUGAUUCUCCUGCCUCAGCCUCCCGAGUAGCUGGGAUUACAGAUGGCCACCACCAUGCCCAACUAUUUUUUGUAUUUUUCGUAGAGACAGGGUUUCACCAUGUUGGCCUGAGUGGUCUUGAACUCCUGACCUCAAGUGAUCUGCCCACCUCGGCCUCCCAAAGUGCUGGAAUUAUAGGCAUGAGCCAUCGUGCCCAGCGUGGUUGUGCUUAUUUUAAAUUCUUAAUUUGUUUGUUCCAGUAUUUCUGCUUGAUAUCGUGUAUGUUCAGUGUGUGUUUUUCUUUUUGCAGUGGUUCUAACCUCAGGUAUUUUAAGCUGUGAGCUGAUGUUCCCCUGGAGUUAUCAGUGAAUUCUACAAACUAAGCACUGGAAGAAUGUCGAGAUGUUACAGUGAAAAAGGAAGCUAAAUGAGGCCAGAUUGGAGAGCAAAUUGUUAUUAUUUAAAACUUAUGGACCACCUCGAAUAUGCCAAGUUCUAUUUAAGAAAAUACAGAAACAUGAUUCCUUUCAUUUAACAGCUGACAUUUUCAGGAAGUAUACACCACAUUUUUGUGUGUGUUUUACUCCACAUACUGCCAAUAUUUAAACUUGCUUAGUUUGAGGAAUUUCCUCUUAUUAGUUUUCUUUUUCUCAACUUUUUUUUUAGAGUGGUUCUCUUUCUUUUUUAAAUUUUGUUUCUGUUUUCUUUCCUGUUUUUAAAAAUAAAAAUAGAGACUAUGAUCAAAUAUCAUUGCAUAUGUUCCUAUUACUGGGUUGAAAGUUGGUAACUGAAACACUACCUUUAUUCUGUGAUUUUUCUAAAAGCAGGCUGGAUGAACUAUUUGUUAUCCUUUUUGCAAUUGUUCAGUGUGUUUGUCUCUCCACAGAAUGGUAACUGGCUGAUCUCCAUUUUCAUUUCAGGUUAAAAUCAAGGAAAUCAAUUUGAACUGUAGCACGCAAGUUUUAUGUUAAUUACAAACAUAUGAAAAAUGUUCAGUUUUAAGUAAGAUAAUGUUGUUUAUUUUUCCCCCUGUCUUUUAUGCCUCUAAUUCUGCUAUAAAUCAUAUGUAAAAAGAAUUUGGUGAGACGCAGUAAGAAUUCUCAUAAAAUGCUGAUGGGAAGGAAACUUCUGCUGACCAUGAAGGAUACUUAUAGAUACAGUGUAGCUACUCCCCCUGUGCUCCCACCCCCACCAUAUACCAGUGGUUCUUAAACUUUAACAUGCAUCAUAAUCACCCAGAGAGUUUGUUAAAACAGGGAUUGCUGGGCUCCACCUCCAGAGUUUCUGAUUCAGUAAAUCUGGGGCAAGCCUUGAUAAUGUGUUUCCUAACAAGUCCCCAACUCAUAGUGACACUACUAGUCCAGGGAUCAACUCUGAGAAUCACUGCCAUAUACCAAUAUUUCUCAGUACUGACUGCACCUGGGGAUUUUAAAGAGAAUACAACUGCCAAAAAUUACCAGUGCUCAGGUCUGUUCCCACUGAUUCUGAUUUAAUUGGUUGGGAAUGAGGCCAGGAUACCUGUAUUUUAUAAAAGUUCUUCAGGAGAUUCUAAGGUAUACUUAGGUUCAAGAAGCACUUCCUUACACUCAAUCUCCACCCGUCAUUCAGAGAAACUCAUGUAGUUUCUGUUUCACCUUCCAUUAAAGCCUUCAAUGUUAAGCUAUUAUCAAGAUAUUUUUAUAUAGACUGGGAUGCCUAUUAGUCUUAGUCACCACCAAAAUGUAAGUCACUAAGUAUUUAUCCUCUCCCUUACUCUUACUAUUUCUCCAUGAUUUCUCUCCACUAAUCCAUACCUGCUCCUACUUUGCCUUCCACCAUGAGUAAAAGUUCCUUGAGGCCUCCCCAGAAGCAGACGCCGCCAUGCUUCCUGUACAGCCUGCAGAGCCAUGAGCCAAUUAAACCACUUUUCUUAUAAAUUACCCAGUCUCAGGUAUUUCUUUAUGGCAAUGCAAGAAAGGACUGAUACAGGUAAUAAAUCAUUCAUUCAUUCAAAUAAAGUUACCAUAGUGUUGGGGAUACAGAAAAGAGACAGCCCCUUAAGGAGCUCAAAGUCCUCAGAAUACCCUUCCUUUAUUGUGAUUUAGUGCCACUUUUGAAGACAAAAAAGAAGUAAGAGUCUUAUUUCGUGAACAUGUGGCAAAUGUAUGACUCAUUACGUUUAUGGUUCCACUAAGUUUAAAUUAGGAGGAAGUUCCUAAUAAGUAUUUUUAAGCAAAAAAUAGUUGUGAUCGAUUGUAAAAUUAGACACAAAUUAUCUCAUCUCUUUAUGGAUACCCUAUGCAAUGUGAAUUUGUGGUCUUCCCAUCAUGAGGUGAAUUCUAUUUCUCCACCUGGUGAAUUUGGGCUUGGUCAUGUGACUUGAUUGGCCAAUGGGACAUUAUUAACAAAUAAAUGCACUGCAAGUAGAGGCUUGAAAGGUGCUUGUGCAUUGUUGGGGCUUGCUGUCUUGCUGCUCUUCGAGCCUUGAGAUAACCAUGUGAAUGAGCCUCUGGAUGAAGAGAGACACAGGGUCAUGCCAUCCCUGUUACUCCAACUAACAAACACCAGCCACCAAACCUAAGUCGGAGGCUCUCUUAGCCCAUCCAACUCCAGCUGAACCACCAGCUACCAUACAGAUGUGUGAGUGAGCCAGCAGCCAGCAGCUGUGCAGGCCCAGACCGAAAGAACUACCCAUUGGAAAGUAGGUGUUGGAUUCUUUCCAAUCCACAGAACCAAGGACAAUAAUACAUGCUUUAAGUCACUACAUUUUGGGGUGCAUUGUUAUACAGAAUAUAUAUAUUCUAUUGUUAUAUAGAAUUUUUAGUUAUCUUAAAAUUUUUUAAAACUUAAUUUAACCUGCUGUGACUACUGGAUUAGGAUGAUUUCAGAAAGUAAAAAUAGAGUCUUAAAAUGUAACAUUUCUUGCAGCUGGCUGUCGGUUCUAUUGAAUUUUUACCUAAGGAUUUAAAUGAAUUAGUUGACAGAGAUCUUUAUUUUUUAUUAUCUCUGGUGCACAGCGUGAAGUUGAAGUUGGGCGAGGGGUAAAAUUUUCGGUUAGUAGCUGGAUGAAAGAUCAGCCGAUUCUCCCAGCUUUUAGUCUUGCUCUGCCUAGUACACUAUCAGUCAGCAUUUGCUUAAGGAGUGGUUGGUAUUUACUGCUUUUCAGUUCAACAACAGGCUACUUUUUAAAUAUAAAAAUUA
rnacentral:lncRNA from 1 species